rnacentral:rRNA from 1 species
UACGGAGGGGGCAAGCGUUAUCCGGAUUUACUGGGUGUAAAGGGAGCGUAGACGGUGAUGCAAGUCAGAAGUGAAAGCCCGUGGCUCAACCGCGGAACUGCUUUGGAAACUGUAUAGCUUGAGUACUGGAGAGGCAGGCGGAAUUCCUAGUGUAGCGGUGAAAUGCGUAGAUAUUAGGAGGAACACCAGUGGCGAAGGCGGCUUACUGGACGACAACUGACGCUGAGGCUCGAAAGCGUGGGGAGCAAACAGG